rnacentral:rRNA from 1 species
CCUACGGGAGGCAGCAGUGAGGAAUAUUGGUCAAUGGGCGCUAGCCUGAACCAGCCAAGUAGCGUGAAGGAUGACUGCCCUAUGGGUUGUAAACUUCUUUUGUAUGGGAAUAACAUGCAGUAUGUAUACUGCUUUGCAUGUACCUUAUGAAUAAGGAUCGGCUAACUCCGUGCCAGCAGCCGCGGUAAUACGGAGGAUCCGAGCGUUAUCCGGAUUUAUUGGGUUUAAAGGGAGCGUAGGCGGGUUGUUAAGUCAGUUGUGAAAGUUUGCGGCUCAACCGUAAAAUUGCAGUUGAUACUGGCAGCCUUGAGUACAGUAGAGGUAGGCGGAAUUCGUGGUGUAGCGGUGAAAUGCGUAGAUAUCACGAAGAACUCCGAUUGCGAAGGCAGCCUGCUGGACUGUAACUGACGCUGAGGCUCGAAAGUGUGGGUAUCAAACAGGAUUAGAUACCCCUGUAGUC